rnacentral:sRNA from 1 species
AAAGUAACUUAUUUUUCUGUCUUCUCAGUGUUUUAAGUGGUAGAUAGCAAAAAGGUCAAGUUAUAGCUUAUAAAGAGUACAUGAAUGUUUAGCAAAGAGAAGAAAUACAGCUUUGAUAAUCAAGUGUAAAAUCCAUUUGCAAAUCUUACAGGGUAAGCUUGAUGAUUACCAGGAACGAAUGAACAAAGGGGAAAGGCUUAAUCAAGAUCAGCUGGAUGCCGUUUCUAAGUACCAGGAAGUCACAAAUAAUUUGGAGUUUGCAAAAGAAUUACAGAGGAGUUUCAUGGCACUAAGUCAAGAUAUUCAGAAAACAAUAAAGAAGACAGCACGUCGGGAGCAGCUUAUGAGAGAAGAAGCUGAACAGAAACGUUUAAAAACUGUACUUGAGCUACAGUAUGUUUUGGACAAAUUGGGAGAUGAUGAAGUGCGGACUGACCUGAAACAAGGUUUGAAUGGAGUGCCAAUAUUGUCCGAAGAGGAGUUGUCAUUGUUGGAUGAAUUCUAUAAGCUAGUAGACCCUGAACGGGACAUGAGCUUGAGGUUGAAUGAACAGUAUGAACAUGCCUCCAUUCACCUG